rnacentral:tRNA from 1 species
GUCGUGGCUUAGUGGUAGAGCACUUGCUUAGCACACAUGAGACUCUGGGUUUGAUCCUCAGCACCACA